rnacentral:tRNA from 1 species
GAGGGUAUAGCUCAGUGGUAGAGUGCAUGCUUAGCAUGCAUGAGGUCCUGGGUUCAAUCCCCAGUCCCUCCA